rnacentral:rRNA from 1 species
CGUAGGGUGCAGGCGUUAAUCGGAAUUACUGGGCGUAAAGCGUGCGCAGGCGGUUUGCUAAGAGAGAUGUGAAAUCCCCGGGCUUAACCUGGGAACUGCGUUUCUAACUGGCAAGCUUGAGUGCGGCAGAGGGGGGUGGAAUUCCACGUGUAGCAGUGAAAUGCGUAGAGAUGUGGAGGAACACCGAUGGCGAAGGCAGCCCCCUGGGUCGACACUGACGCUCAUGCACGAAAGCGUGGGGAGCAAACAGGAUUAGAUACCCUGGUAGUCCACGCCCUAAACUAUGUCAACUGGUUGUCGGGGAAGCAAUUCCUUGGUAACGAAGCUAACGCGUGAAGUUGACCGCCUGGGGAGUACGGCCGCAAGGUUA